GGUUAAGCGACUAAGCGUACACGGUGGAUGCCCUGGCAGUCAGAGGCGAUGAAGGACGUGCUAAUCUGCGAUAAGCGUCGGUAAGGUGAUAUGAACCGUUAUAACCGGCGAUUUCCGAAUGGGGAAACCCAGUGUGAUUCGUCACACUAUCAUUAACUGAAUCCAUAGGUUAAUGAGGCGAACCGGGGGAACUGAAACAUCUAAGUACCCCGAGGAAAAGAAAUCAACCGAGAUUCCCCCAGUAGCGGCGAGCGAACGGGGAGCAGCCCAGAGCCUGAAUCAGUGUGUGUGUUAGUGGAAGCGUCUGGAAAGGCGCGCGAUACAGGGUGACAGCCCCGUACACAAAAAUGCACAUACUGUGAGCUCGAUGAGUAGGGCGGGACACGUGGUAUCCUGUCUGAAUAUGGGGGGACCAUCCUCCAAGGCUAAAUACUCCUGACUGACCGAUAGUGAACCAGUACCGUGAGGGAAAGGCGAAAAGAACCCCGGCGAGGGGAGUGAAAAAGAACCUGAAACCGUGUACGUACAAGCAGUGGGAGCCUCUUUAUGGGGUGACUGCGUACCUUUUGUAUAAUGGGUCAGCGACUUAUAUUCUGUAGCAAGGUUAACCGAAUAGGGGAGCCGAAGGGAAACCGAGUCUUAACUGGGCGUUAAGUUGCAGGGUAUAGACCCGAAACCCGGUGAUCUAGCCAUGGGCAGGUUGAAGGUUGGGUAACACUAACUGGAGGACCGAACCGACUAAUGUUGAAAAAUUAGCGGAUGACUUGUGGCUGGGGGUGAAAGGCCAAUCAAACCGGGAGAUAGCUGGUUCUCCCCGAAAGCUAUUUAGGUAGCGCCUCGUGAAUUCAUCUCCGGGGGUAGAGCACUGUUUCGGCAAGGGGGUCAUCCCGACUUACCAACCCGAUGCAAACUGCGAAUACCGGAGA
rnacentral:rRNA from 1 species